GUAAUAAAUUCAGCCUACUUCACCUGGUAAACUAAUAAUACUUUUUAAUUAAUUAAAUAAAACAUUUUAUCAUUUUAGUAAAGGAGAUAGAAAAAUUCAAUAGCGCAAUAUAAAUAGUACUGCAAAGGAAAAAUGAAAUAGAAAUUAAAUAAAUCAUAAAAACAAUAAAAAGCAAAGAUUUAACCUUUUACCUUUUGCAUCAUGGUCUAGUAAGUUUAACCUAACACAAAGAACUUAAGUUAGACAUCCCGAAACUAAACGAGCUACUACGAAGCAGCAAAACGAGCCAACCCUUCUCUGUAGCAAAAGAGUGGGACGACUUCCUAGUAGUGGUGAUAAACCUAACGAGUAUAGUAAUAGCUGGUUACUUAAUAAAUGAACUUAAAUUCAACUUAAAAUAUUUUAAACAAACAAAGUAAAAAAUAAUAUUUUAAAGUUAAUUAAUAGAGGUUCAGCUCUAUUAAUAAAGGACACAACCUAAAACAAUGAAUAAUGAUUAUACUAAUAAAGGAAAUUAAUUAUGUAGGCCUAAAAGCAGCAAUCAAAAUAAAAGCGUUAAAGCUUAAUUCAAUAAAUCUAAUUAUAACAAUAAAAUAUCUUAAUUCACUAAAACUAUUAAGUCAAUCUAUUUUUAUAGAUGUGAUUAUACUAGAAUGAGUAACAAGAAAAUAUUCUCUUAGUGUAAGUGUAAAUCAGAACGAAUAUUUCACUGAUAAUUAACGAACCUUUUGAGGGAAAAAUAACACCUUACAAGAAAAACCUAUUUAACCAAUCGUUAACCCAACACAGGAACACACUAGAAAGAUUAAAAAUAUAGGAAGGAACUCGGCAAACAUGAACUUCGCCUGUUUACCAAAAACAUCGCCUCUUGCAAUUAAGGUAUAAGAGGUCCUGCCUGCCCAGUGACAUUAAGUUUAACGGCCGCGGUAUUAUGACCGUGCAAAGGUAGCGUAAUCACUUGUCUUUUAAAUAAAGACCAGUAUGAAUGGCAAGACGAAAGUUCAACUGUCUCCCUAAAUUAAUCAGUGAAAUUGAUUUCUCCGUGCAGAAGCGGAGAUAUAAUUAUAAGACGAGAAGACCCUAUGGAGCUUUAA
rnacentral:rRNA from 1 species